UUGAAUAGAGUGGAUGAGCCCACUGAUAUUGGUAAUCACUUAAUAAGCAAUGGUCAUAGGUUGGAUGUGCAGCUUCAGCAAAUCAAAUCAUCUUCAGGUGGUAUUCUUAAUGGAGAGCUAAGUGUGCGCAGAGACUUUGAUUUGAAUGACGGGCCUCUUGUUGAUGAGAUGAGUGUGGAACCAUCAUCAUUUGGCCAGCACAACAAGAACAGCGCACCAUCCCAACCAUCUGUAUCUGGCCUUCGGAUGAAUAAUACAGAAAUGGGCAACUUUUCAUGGUUUUCACAGGGUAAUCCAUAUUCAGCUGUCACGAUCCAGUCCAUCUUGCCUGAUAGAGGAGAGCAGCCUUUUCCAAUGGUGACACCUGGUGGGCCGCAAAGGAUGUUGGCACCCUUAACUGGCAGCACUCCAUUGAGUCCUGAUGUCUAUAGGGGGUCAGUCUUGUCUUCAUCUCCAGCUGUACCCUUUCCAUCUACACCUUUUCAGUGUCCUCCUGUCUUUCCCUUUGGAACCAACUUUCCUCCACCCACGGCAACAUUUUCAGGUGGCUCUACAACUUAUGUGGAUUCAUCAUCUGGUGGAAGGCUUUGCUUUCCUGCAAUGCAUUCUCGAGUAUUAGCACCUUCCAGUGCAGUUCCAUCUCAUUAUCCGAGGCCUUUUGUUGUUAGCCUCCCAGAUAAUAACAAUAAUGGUAACACCGAGAGCAGCAGGAAAUGGGGAAGGC
rnacentral:misc_RNA from 1 species